CUCCUCCCAAGGUGUUGGGAUGCUGCUGACCUCCCAGAAAACUGUGGUCAAAGGCCAAGGCGUGACCCAACUCCCCUGGACAGGAGUUUUGGUCAAAGAGCACAUCACCCCACUCACACAUUCUUAUUUGCACAGAGAGGAUUGUGUUACAGGGUCGUCUUUGUUCUAAUCCAUGCUUCCGGGUUUAUUUGUAUACAGAGAAAACUGUGUUUGGAAUUUGCAAAGCCUGGUUGAAUAUUUCCUUGUUUCAUCAGUGGCAUUGUUUUAACCCAUUGGUGUACCAGUUUUUAAAACUUGCGUAUAGGAGUGGAACUGCCAGUGAGUUUGAAAAACUUUGAGGGUAUAAAUAGGCCAGAAUGUUUCUAAUAAGGGAAGAUGCCCUGAUGAUGUCACCAUAUCAGGGGACGUCUCGUGUUUUGUGGGGACCAAACAAAGCUGUUUUGAGGAAAGAGAGACACUGAGAGAGAUUCACUUGAAGGUAGGGACCCUGAGUUAUUUAUCUUUGCCUCUUGCUUCCAUCCCUAGCCCAGCACCUGGAAUGAUGCUGUCCCACAGAGGACACUCAGUAAAUGCAGUGUCUGCAUCAAUGACUAAAGAACCCAGAAACCUGCUUACCUGUCCCCUAUAUUGGAUGCUCAAGCAUCAUGGCAUCAUUUCCAGUGGAGUCGCUGAACUUGUAGGUUGUCUACCUGACACCUCGAGGUCCUUACUCACCAAGAAGUCAGCUAUGAAGCCCGCUGAGUCCUCGGGUGGAUGUCUGCCACCACAUACAUAGCCUUUGCUCGUGGCUUGGAGAGCUGGCAGGUCAGCCACAGAAAGUGGGCAAGACCUAGUCAGUAGCGACAGGAUAUGUUCCCAGGAUGGACAGCUGCCUGAUAUGCAUUCACUUCCAGUGCCAAAGCCUAGGGCUGCAAGUGCCCUUCCUUCAUGCUAAGCACUUCUCUCUCUCCAGGACAGCGGAUGCCUGUUUGGAAGGCUGGAUUGGACUGAGCCACAUGACAGAGCCUUGGAGGUGGCAGGGGAGGGAAGUCGAAGACGUGGGCAAGUCUCAGUUCUCAGCAGUGGCUGUGUGCCAGGCACUGAACGAGGCAUUUUGCAUGCACCAUUUCACUUUAUCUGCACAAGAGCCUCCUGCUGAGGAACUAUGGCCCCACUUUAAUGUUGAGGAAAUUGAGGCUCAGAGAGGGGAAGUCACCUGCUUGAGGCCACACUGCUAGUAAAUGGUAGAAUGAAAGUUAAAGGUUACCUUGAAGCCUCUGCUGUUCCCAUCGUCCCACAGCCGGCCAACUCCUGAGCUCAGGAAGACGUUGGAAUAAGCCAGGCCCUCUGAGAUCCCUGACUGUGAAGUCUUUAGGGAAAGAUUCAGGUCAUGAUCAUCAGAACGCCUUACCUUUGUGGAGCAUGGGAACAUUUACAGGAUGAAUUUACAUCCAGUAUUUCAUUUGCCUCUCACAGUAGCUUAGUGAAUUAUUAGCUCCAUAUCACCAAUGAGAAACUGAGGCAUGAAGAGAUGGAGAGAGUUUCAGGGCAUCUGGCUCCUAAUCUGGAGCUCUUUUCACUGGGUUUCAGAGAGAACAGAGCACUUUUAUUAAGCAUUUCAAAACAAGUUUAAUAUAGCAUUCUAUUAAAUACUAAGUCCUAGGCUGAAAGCUCCUAAAUUGGAAACUAUAUAUGAUUUACCUCUUUGUGUCCCACACCUAUCAGUGUGGGGCUUAUUGCAGAUAAUCAAUUUCCAUGGAAAGAAUCAUGCCUAUAUAGGUAAUUGCGAUUCAUCUGUCUAAAAAGUCAUGAGCCUGCUGCCCUGGCUUCAGGGCCAUUUCUUCAUAGUAUUUUUCAAUGUGUCUGUCAUUUUUAGCACAGCAAUUGGUAACUGGAACAGUGGUUUAAAAAUGUUUUAGUGGUAGAACUCUCUUUCUCAAAGAAAAUCUUAGGCAGAAUCUCAACAUGGUAAAUAGUUUUUUAGCAAAGGCUAAAAAAUACCAGGCAAUUUAUAGCAUUUGAUGUAAAAGAGUUCAGAAGGAAACCUUUGCAACCUAUGUUUGCUUAGGUUUCCAAUGGGGCACAUUCUGAAGAUCACUAAGCAGAAUCAUUACAUUGACCAGAGUACUGUUCAUUCCCUAACCUUGUCAAACAUUAAGGUGCUAUGUAGGGAGAAGGGAUGAGGACAAGAGCAGGCAAGGGGAGAAUGGUGGGUGCUCUCCUGCUGCAUGUCCGAGUCAUAUGCAUCAUGGAUGGGAAGAGUUGAGGAGAGUUGGGUGAGAACUCAGGGCUGAGUUGCAAAUGGCCUGUAUAUGGGAUAACAUUCUUAGGUGCAAACAGUAGAAUCUACUCUAGCUGGUUUAAGUGCUGAGAGAUUUAUUAAAAGGUGUGUAUAGCUCAUAGAAUCACUGAGAGGGCUGGAAACCAUGCUUUAGUCUAGGCCGAACUUUCAGGAACAACUCCCAAAACCCACACUGCAGAAAUGCACUGCCAAGGGAGCUGCUUCCUCAGCACGAAGAGGCAGUGGUUGGUUUCAGAAUCUCAUUGCCUUUGGUGUGACUGGGAGUCACCAGAUCAGGGCACGAAGUCAGAAAGCCAUCACUGUAGCUACUGGCUCCAGAAGCACACCUCUCUACCCGGAUCCACAUCAGAAAAAGGAAGCCUUGCACUCUGUCUUUCUUCUCACAUAAGUCAACUCACAGUUGAAGACCAAUACAAGUACAAUAGAAUGGUAGAUCCCAAGCUAUAUACAGAAUCAUCAUUACUAGGUAGUCUGAGAAAUUUAGCAUUCAUAGGACCAGA